ACAGUACUCCCUCUGUUUGGAAUUACUUGUCUCGGAAAUGGAUGUAUCUAGAACUAAAAUAUGUCUAGAUACAUCCAUUUCUGCGACAAGUAAUUCCGAACAGAGGGAAUACUCU
rnacentral:pre_miRNA from 1 species